rnacentral:rRNA from 1 species
GUCGAACGAAGUAGUUUACUACUUAGUGGCGAACGGGUGAGUAACACGUAUCUAAUCUACCAUUUAGUGGGGAAUAACUGUUGGAAACGACAGCUAAUACCGCAUACUGUUUCUAAGAUGAUUUCUUAGAAAUGAAAGAAGCUUUCAAGCUUUGCUAAUUGAUGAGGAUGCGGCGCAUUAGCUAGUUGGUAGGGUAAUGGCCUACCAAGGCAAUGAUGCGUAGCCGAUCUGAGAGGAUGAACGGCCACAUUGGGACUGAGACACGGCCCAAACUUCUACGGAAGGCAGCAGUAGGGAAUUUUUCACAAUGGGCGAAAGCCUGAUGGAGCAAUGCCGCGUGAUUGAUGAAGGUCUUCGGAUUGUAAAGAUCUGUUGUAAGGGAAGAAAGAAUAAAAUAGGAAAUGAUUUU